UUUAGAAAUUUUCAUUAAGACAUAGCGCAGAUUUUAGAAAUAAAUAGGACAAAACAGAAAAACCUAUUACAGACUUACAGUAUCCACGAUCAAAAUCAGGAAAAACUUUCAUUUCAGGGUAAGAUAUGGCAAUUCCACUUCCACUCAUGAGUAACGCUGCUACUGCUACUCCUACAAAAAGAGAUGGAAUUUAUGUGGCAGCAAUGCCUUUGAGAGCUUCAAAAGGACCUGCUCAGCUUAUAAUGUCAUUAACUUACUCUCUUAAUCUUUGGGAUUUACAACAUUACAUGGUUAUCAUCAAACCCAAUUCACCUCAACCUCAAUCCCAGGCUUUUGUUUUUGAUUUUCAACCUCAAGAUCCUGAGAACAUAAGUGUAGCAGUUUCUGCAUUAUCAGGACGACGAGUACCAGGAGCUUUGCUAGUGAGAAAGCUUGCUAAACUGCCUAAUAGAAAAUGCUGGUUCGUGGGAUAUUCAAGUGUGGAUAGCAUAAGUAGAGCAAAUAAAUUCAAUGAGGUCUGGGAGACUGAUUUGAGGAUUGGCCUGCACGACUGCCGUGAUUACACUAACGAGUUGGUCGAGUGCCUCAUUGGUGAGAAGCAAGUUUUGGAGCGUUUGAGGGGAUCCUUGGAUGCCUUCCAAGAACUGUAACCAGCUUGGGGAGGAUGUCAUGUUGGAUGCUGAUAUAAUCUAUCUGGGGUAGCACAAUAACUUGAGGCUAACUUGAAGUUUUCGUCUUCGAACACAGCGAAAUUUAAAAUCGGAGGUAUCGACUGCUAAUUCUUCUUUGGUUACACAAGAAAACACUACAGCAGUAUAUUAGAGAGUGUUAUAAAGAACCAGAAUUCAACCGUGCACCUGAAUUGUGGGAAGGACUACCAAGGGCAAUCCUGAGAAGAUGUUAAUGACGAUAUCACAAGGCAAGUCAUGUACAUGUAAGCACUUGUUUGAUUUGUGUUCUCAUCAUAUAAAGCUCUUUUCUGGUAAGUGGGUUAAUAUAUGUAAAAGGAUUUUUGUGAAAUGCCUGUAUUUUGAUAUUAGAAAUUAAGCAAUUAAAAUUUUAGUAAAUAAAUAAAGAAAAAGAAUCCUAGUCACAACUGUUGAGGUAAUCUUAACUAGUACACAACAUGAAUAAAAUCAUCGAAACUUAUUUCUCUACGAUUA